rnacentral:lncRNA from 1 species
CUCGAGAGAGCAGCCGGGACCCACCAAAAGGAUUUUGUGCUUUUACCCCAAAUGUUCUGUCCUUGGCCAGCGCAAAAUGCAAAAAGAAUAUGGACACAAUCCUCUCUUGCAGCUAGACAGGGCCAUGUGACCAGAUCUGACCAAAGGGCAAGAAGUAGAAGAGACCUGUGCCACUUUGGGACCUAAGAGAGGACCUGGUGACAUCUCUUUCCACUGAAUAAGCAAAUCUCCUCUAUCCUCACCGACCCUUCCCUACUCGGUGGCAGACUAAACUGCACAGGCAAGGCCUUGGUGGCACCCAGUCAGGUAAGACAUGGCUUCAAGACUAUCAGGAUCCUUCGGCAGGGUGCAGAUAGAGACACUGCCACUGAUGUCAUCUGAGUCAAGUUGGCAAUUCAGGGGAAUGAGAGGGAUGGUGACCCACAGUGGUGUUGAAGAGGACCUGAAGGAGGAGAUGCCAGAUAAGGCUGCAAGGAUCCAGUCCUUACUCCCAGCCUUGAUUCUUAGCCAGGGCUCACAAGAAAACCCAUGAGGAGGAGUCACCUGUGUGGCUUUGGAGAGCAGGCUUAGGCAGUGGUGGCAAAAGGGAGCCUGGGUCUUCUCCAGAUCAGGCAGAAGUUGCAAAGUGGAGCAGCGGGGAUUACACAUCAGGAAGCAAAUCUGAUAUCAAGGACAGAGAGGAAGCACUGGACCUCUGUGAUCAGGGAGCAUUGCCACAGUGCAGAGGCCC